rnacentral:tRNA from 2 species
CGGAAUAGCUCAGUCGGUAGAGCAACUGUCUCGUAAUCAGUAGGUCGAAGGUUCGAUUCCCUUUUCCGGC